GCUACUCUGGCACAUAAUGUGAAUAUCGGUUAGCGCGCCGUACUUAUAGACAGUAUUAUCUCUGUGCUCGACACAAGACUAGGCGAUGCGGAGGUUGUGAGUUCGAUCCUCACCCGGGGCACAGUA